GACGAACCGUGCGAACGUUAUUCGGAAUCACUGGGCUUAAAGCGCGUGUAGGCGGGCCGCCACGUCGGCUGCUGAAAUCCCCCGGCUCAACCGGGGAACGGGCACCGAUACGAGCGGCCUGGAGGGGGGUAGGGGGCACUGGAACUUCCGGUGGAGCGGUGAAAUGCGUUGAGAUCGGAAGGAACGCCCGUGGCGAAAGCGAGUGCCUGGACCCUUACUGACGCUGAGACGCGAAAGCCAGGGGAGCCGAACGGG
rnacentral:rRNA from 1 species